GCCAGGAUGGCUGAGUGUUUAAGGCAUUGGACUUAAGAUCUCAUGGAUAUAGGUGUGUGUCUGUGUGGGUUCAAUCCCCACUUGUAGCA